rnacentral:sRNA from 1 species
CUGACAUUGCAAUCACAAAUCCAGCCCGUGCUGGAAUAUCCACCGUGGUUUGCCGGUGAAGGACCUGGACGCAGACUGACCCACACAGCCGGGGCGGGGAACAAAGGGCUGAGUCGCACUGUGGGACACCUGGGUGCAGUCGUCAUGCUCCCAGCCCUGCCGUCUGCUGUGUCCACAGGAUCAGGCCCCAUCAUGCUGGACGAGGUCCAAUGCAUGGGAACCGAGGCCUCGCUGGCCGACUGCAAGUCCCUGGGUUGGCUGAAGAGCAACUGCAGGCACGAGAGAGACGCCGGUGUUGUCUGCACCAACGAAACCAGGAGCACCCACACCCUGGACCUCUCCAGGGAGCUCUCGGAGGCCCUUGGCCAGAUCUUUGACAGCCAGCGGGGCUGCGACUUGUCCAUCAGCGUGAGUGUGCAGGGCGAGGACGCCCUGGGCUUCUGUGGCCACACGGUCAUCCUGACUGCCAACCCAGAGGCCCAGGCCCUGUGGAAGGAGCCGGGCAGCAAUGUCACCAUGAGUGUGCAUGCUGAGUGUGUGCCCAUGGUCAGGGACUUUCUCAGGUACUUCUACUCCCGAAGGAUCGACAUCGCCCUGUCGUCGGUCAAGUGCUUCCACAAGCUGGCCUCUGCCUAUGGGGCCAAGCAGCUGCAGGGCUACUGUGCGAGCCUCUUUGCCAUCCUCCUCCCCCGGGACCCCUCGUUCCAGACGCCCCUGGACCUGUAUGCCUAUGCAGUGGCCACAGGGGACGCCCUGCUGGAGAAGCUCUGCCUGCAGUUCCUUGCCUGGAACUUCGAGGCCUUGACACAGGCCGAGGCCUGGCCCAGCGUCCCCACAGACCUGCUCCAACUGCUGCUGCCCAGGAGCGACCUGGCAGUGCCC